UUCGGCGCUCGGCCCACUCCGCAGGGGAGAAAUUAAAUUCACGGAAAGCAGAUGGCGGGGGCGGGACGGACUUCGAGGAAGCCGGAGGGCAGGGAAAUGGGUCGAGCCCUGCAUCAUCCACCGAGCCAGGGCUGUAGGUUGGUGCCCCGCUCUUUGAGAGCUGACUCUGUCCUUCGGGGGCGAAUCACUCGUAGAGCUCGGUUCGGUGACUUCCCGGGUCGCCCCCUUCCCAGCUACAAACGCUGCAUUUUCGAGGGGUGUGACAGAAAGAGCAGCGGCGGAGACUGCCAGAGGAGGGACUUCAGUCGGCCUUUAACCACCAGUUAGUGGUUUGUAAAAUCAGUUUAGCUGGUUUCUACCUGGAAAGGAUGCAGUUUUUGUUUUAUAUGAAGGAGAGUAGGAAAUUUCAGGGACAUCUCGGGUAAUCAGAAUGACAACAACAGCAAUUACCACAACAACAAGAAAAUAAAAAGCCUAAUCCUCCUCUACUACAUUACUGGUCUCAAAUUACAGAACACCAGCUACCUAGUCAAUUGCUGGAGCCAGAAACUCACUGAUUUGAGGGUGGAUACAAAUGGCAACUUGAACUCUCAGACAGCUGCUGCAAUUCAAAUGAAGUGAAGCUGAAAUUUUAGCAAUACUGUGGAAACCAUAUUGGAAUAAGGUGUAACCUAUCCACAGAGAAAACACUGGUGGGCCUUCCUUGUCACAUGGUGAUGGUAACUGGAAUUACAGAAAUGGGGUCUAGGAGAAAAUAAAUUUUAUUUAUUUAUUUGAGACAGAGAGAAUGAGAGACAGAGACCACAUGAGAGGGGGGAGGGUCAGAGGGAGAAGCAGGCUCCCCGCCGAGCAGGGAGCCCGAUGCGGGACUCGAUCCGGGGACUCCAGGAUCAUGACCUGAGCCGAAGGCAGUCGCUUAACCAACUGAGCCACCCAGGCACCCUCUUUUUUUCUUUUUUUUAGAGAGAGAAGUGGGGAGCAGGGCAGAGGGAGAGGGAGAGAGAGGCAGGCUCCAUGCCCAGUGUGGAGCCCAGCCUGGAGCUCUAUCUCAGAACCCUGAUAUCAUGACCUGCGCCAAAAUCAAGAGUCUGAUGCCCAACCGACUGAGUCACCCAGGCGCCCCUUCAUUCACCUCUUGAUGGACAUUUGGGUUGGGUCCAGUUUAGAGCUAUUAAGAUGCUAUAAAUGUUCAGGAUCAAGUCCUUGCAUAGGUAUAUGUUUUCAUUUCCUUGGAUAAAUACCAGAGUGGAAUUGCUGGGUUGUGCUAUAAGUGUAUGCUUAACUUUAUUUUUUUUUUAAGAUUUUAUUUAUUUGACAGACAGAGAGAAAGCAAGAGAGGGAACACAAGCAGGGGGAGUGGCAGAAGGAGAAGCAGGCUCCCCACUGAGCAAGGAGCCCAAUGUGGGACUUGAUCCCAGGAUCCUGGGGUCAUGACCUAAGCCAAAGGCAGAUGCUUAACCAACUAAGCCACCCAGGCAUCCCUGCUAACAUGGUAUUGACUAGGACUACUCUUCUGGCUACAUUCAGCUGGGAGCUCAGCUGAGGCUGAAAUGUUCAAGAAGACCCCUUAACGGAAAGGUCCUUAACUGCAUAGCAUUAACUGCACAAUAUAACUUUUGCCAUAGGUCGUUGGUCAAAACAAGUCACAAGGCAAUCUGGAUGAGAGAAGCAGCAUGUGUUGCAUAAGAUUGAGAAGAAUAGUUGACAGUCAUAAGAUUCUGCACCCAAUUUCAACGUAUGGGAGUUUUCUCUCUAUUCCAAGCAAUUCUCCCACCCCAGCUGGGUGUCCUACAAUUUAACUGAAUUCAAUUCUGACCCUAUCUACGUGGAAAUAGCAUCAGAUCCCACAGCUUAAGGCCUUAGUCCCACAAAACUACUCCCACCCCAGUUCAGAGGCCAACCACAAAUCCAGGUUGUCACCUGUGCUUCUGACCAACAGUAAGUCUGAGGUUCCCAUGACUCACUUCUCAGGUUCAAUUCAUUUGAUAAAGUGGCUCACAGAACCAGGGAAACACGUUUACCAGUUUAUUAUGUAGUAUGAUGAAAGAUACAGAUGAAAAGCCAAAUGAAGAGAUACAUAGGGCGAGGCCUGGGAGGGUCCUGAGCACAGGAGCUUCUGUCUCCUUAGAUGUGGGGUGUGCGGAUGUGUUCACUAACCCUGGAAGCACUCUGAAUUGGGAUUUUAUGGAGGCUUCCUCAUAUACCAGUGAUCAAUUAUUAACUCCAUUUCCAGCCCCUCUCCCCUGGGGUGUGGGGUGUGAGGCUGAAAAUUCCAAAUUUCUAACCAUGGCUUAGUCUUUGCACUUACCAGCCUGCAUCCAGAAGCCGUCCAGGAGCCCACCUAGAGUAGCCUCGUUAGAGCAAAAGAUUCUCCCAGGGCUCUUAUCUCUUAGGAAUUUACAAAGGUUUCAGGAGCUCUGUGCCAGGAAUGAGUCAAAGACCAAAUAUAUAUAUUUUUAUUGUAAAUCACAGUAUCAUAGAUUAUUUCUCAGACCCCUCACGACUCUCUGGCUUUUGUUGAUUGUACUAUUCAAAAAGUCACAUAGGCUUGUAGACAAAAAUAUCUUGGAUUUAUCUAUCUCUUAAAUCUAAUCCAAUUGUUUAACCAUUUUUUCUAUUAAUAAUUUCUGCAAAAUAGCUAUUAUAUUCUUUUGUUUCUAUUAUCUUAGCUUGCAAUCUAGUUUAGAUCAAAAAAUCAAAUUGCAUGGCAAAAAUCUAUAAAUGGCAUAUAAACUUUUCUACUAUAAGUAAAAUAACACAAUUUGAUGUAUCUAAUGAUAUUUGUAGUAGUUAUUGUACCUAGAUUGUGAAUCAUAAAAGGUAAGCAGCCGGGGCGCCUGGGUGGCUCAGUCAUUAAGCAUCUGCCUUCACCUCAGGUCAUGGUCCCAGGAUCCUGGGAUCGAACCCUGCAUCAGGCUCCCUGCUCCACGGGAAACCUGCUUCUCCCUCUCCCACUCCCCCUGCUUGUGUUCCCUCUCUCGCUGUGUCUCUGUCAAAUGAAUAAAAUCUUAAAAAAAAAAGUAAGCAGCCCAAGCAAGGAGGUAUAAUUUAUCGUAUACAAUAAAAAAUAAAAUUGUAAUAUUUUCCUCAUUUGUUGAUUCUUCAUCUCUCUCAGCAGUACCAAUGUUUAUGAAUUUAUUUAUUUAGUUAUUUAAUUUAUUUUUUUUAUUUUUUAUUUUUUAAGAUUUUAUUUAUUUAUUCAUGAGAGACAGAGAGAGAGAAGCAGGCUCCCAAGGAGCAGGGAGCCCGAUGUGGGACUCGAUCCCAGGACCCUGUGAUCAUGACCUGAGCCGAAGGCAGACGCUUAACCAUCUGAGCCACCCAGGCGCCCAGUUAAUUUAUUUUUUAAAUUAACAUAAAAUGUGUUAUUUGUUUCAGGGGUACAGGUCUGUGAUUCAUCAGUCUUACACAGCCUAGAGUAGCAGUGCUCAUCACCACAACACACAUCCUCCUCAAUGUCCAUCACCCAGCCACCCCAUCCCCCUACUCCCCUCCCCUCCAGCAACCCUCAGUUUGUUUCCUGAGAUUAAGAGUCUCUUAUGGUUUGUCUCCCUCUCUGGUUUCAUCUUGUUUCAUUUUUCCCUCUCUUCCCCUAUGAUCCUCUGCCUUGUUUCUUAAAUUCUGCAUAUUAGUGAGAUCAUAUGAUAAUUAUCUUUUUCUGAUUGACUUAUUUCACUUAGCAUAAUACCCUCUACUUCCAUCCAUGUCAUUGCAAAUGGCAAGAUUUCAUUUUUUUUUUUGAUGGUUAUGAUGAAUUUUUUUAUUAUAUAGCAUUUCAUCACUAUUAUCAUUACACACACUAAGGUGGGUCCUCCAUAUUACUUCCUGGUAGGUAGUGUUUUGGGGGGGCUUUUCCAGCUCUAAUCAUGGCCAGAAUUUAGCUUUUCUGUGUCCUACCCUUGAAUCUAUCCUUUCUACCCCCUUCUGUGCCUUUUUUCCUGGAAAUCUUGGUCUAAUACAUUAGUGUUCCCCAAAAAUUCACUCUACUCCCUUCUGACUCUGUUUCCCUGCCAUGCUGACUUGGGGAUUGGCCAUGUGACUUGCUUUAAUCAACAGUAUAUGAUGAUGUAAUAGGAAAUUAUGUGAACACAGGCUUCUUGUCUUCCUGUGCUGUGGCGAUUUGACCUGGGUAGCUGCUAUAUAAACACAUGGAGCACAUGUGAACCCAACCUUCAACCUAGAACUUGGAACCCAGAGACUAGAGAUAAGAAUCUUAAAAAAAAAGUAUCUUGCCUGGAAUAGCCAAGGAGCAAGCAACCCACAGACCUGUAAAAGAAAAUGAAUGCUUUUUUUAUUUUAAAAUAUUUUAUUUUUAAGUAAUCUCUAUACCAAUGUGGGGUUCCAAAGCCCAAGAACAAGAGUCGCAUGCUCUUCCGACUGAGCCAGCCAGGCACCCCUAUUUAUUUAUUUUUGAAUGCUUGUAGUUUUAAAUCACUGAGUUUGGAGUGGUGUAUUCUGCAGAAUUAUUGCAGCAAUAGCUGACUAAAACAUUUGGGCAGUUACUCUCUUUUCCCCAGCUGUAAUCCAGGAGUCGUGGGACCAAAGGGCUUGAGGCUCCAGGACCUUUGUGCCUAGAACUUGUGUAUUGGUGCUUUAGGGGUGAAUAAAUAGCAUCAAUGCUGCAGGAUUGGAGAGUUGGAGCACCAGGCUAAGGCACUGCAGGGGGGGUGAGGGCGCGGGAAAUGGUAUAUAACAAUGACACCCAGAUGUCUGACAUAUGGAGACCUCGGGGCCAGGGAACGCAAAAGAUUGAGGCUGGGAUUAAAGGGAAUACCAAUUCUGAGCUCUUGUAGAGUACAUUUUCAGUAAACAUGAUUGUUUUCUUCUUACUGAAACUAUUAAGUGAUCUUUCUCCCUUGAGGGCAGAGACCAUGUCUAUCUUAAUUAUAUGUCUCUAGCACAUAUUGACUAGUCGGUAAACAUAGGUAGAAUCUUGAAAAUCUUGAAAAACUGAAAAGAAAGCUAAGAGGUCAAAAGUGGCCUAAAAUGGGCACAGAUAGUCUCAGAAUACCCUGUAAUCCACCCCUUCUUAUUUAAAACCAUUAAGACCUACAUCCUUUUAGCAACAGCAUUAGGUCUAAUUUAAUAUUAGGUUCAAGCAAAAGAUCCACUUAAUGGAAAAAACGCAAGUCUUCUCCCCUCCUGUCUUUGAAUUAAUUGGAUGCAAAACCUUUAAUUACACAAGUAGAAAUAAAAAGUCUAGAUAAACAUAGACAUUACUUAGAUGUUAAGAAGUUUCAUUCAAAGUUGAAAAGGUCUGUUGCCAAACUAAAAGAUGCAUAUUAGAGAAAAAUUAGCUGUACAGAACAUUUAAAAAAAAUUUUUAAGUCGGCUCCACAUGCAAUUUGGGACUUGAACUCAUGACCUUGAGAUGGAGAGAUCAAGAGUCGCGUGCUCUACUGACUGAGACAGCCAGGCACCUCUAUGCAAAAUAUUUUUGAAAUGAUUAGGAAAUUGGGGCACCUGAGUCGGUUAAGUGACUGCCUUCACUCGGGUCAUGAUCCCAGGGUCCUGGGAUGGAGCCCAGCGUUGAGCCCCGCGUCAGGCUCCCUGCUUGGCAGGGGAGUCUGCUUGUCCCCUUCCCCCUACUCAUGCUCUCGCUCUCUCUCUCUUUCUCUCUUUCAAAUGGAUAAAUAAAAUCUUUAAAAGAGAGAGAAAUGAUUAGGAAAUUUAAAUAUGGGAAGCAUAUUAGAUAUUAGGGAAUUAUUGUUAAUUUUCUUAAGAGUGAUAAUGUAAUUAUGUGAGAGAAUGUCCUUAUUUCUUUGGACAUACAUGCUGAAGUAUCUAGGGGUGAAGUUUCAUGAUAUCUGUAACUUACAUUCAAAUUGUUUAAAAAUAGGGGCGCCUGGGUGGCUCAGUCGUUAAGCGUCUGCCUUCGGCUCAGGUCAUGAUCCCAGGGUCCUGGGAUCGAGCCCCGCAUUGGGCUCCCUACUCAAUGGGAAGCCUGCUUCUCCCUCUCCCACUCCCCCUGCUUGUGUUCCCUCUCUCGCUGUCUCUCUCUGUCAAAUUAAUAAAUAAAAUCUUUAAAAAAAAAUUGUUUAAAAAUAUUGUAGAAAGCAAGAUGGAGUCACUCACGUCAAGCAGUGACUCAUGUCAAGCAGCCAAGGGCGUAGUAGCUAAGACUGGAUAUUGCUGAAACCAGCACAGAUGCCCAGAUGAUGUCCAGAACUGAUAACCAGCAGAACCAGAAGAGGCCUGCAAAGGCCCAAGACUGAUUAAACUCCUUUAAGGACUUUUGCAGCAAACUCUCAGACUCUCCAGAUACUGACCCUUUCACAUCUCACCACGUUGAAGAGACAGCUGGUGCCAAAGCCUCUGCCUGAUUGAUCUCUGAACAUAAUAGAGAUCCUCCACUGCUAGAGCAUAAUACACAGCAUGCACUGAGAGCUGCCCUGGACCGGACUGAGUCCUCAUCUCAACUGUGCGCUCAUGGACUGACUUCAUGUUUGUUAUUAACUUCUCACCCUUUGUUGUAUGACUUUGUAUUGUGCUUUGCUUUGUUUAAUGUGUAUGAAACCAAGUUAAAUGUGUAACAAAAUGUCAUUGAGUUUGGAAUCCUGAACCUGCUUUGUAAUUAUGUUAGCCUUGCUUUAUGAUUAAUAAAACCAACAUUGUGGAAAGACACAA